rnacentral:rRNA from 1 species
UACAGAGGGUGCGAGCGUUAAUCGGAAUUACUGGGCGUAAAGCGCACGUAGGCGGCUUGGUAUGUCGGGUGUGAAAUCCCCGGGCUCAACCUGGGAACUGCAUCCGAAACUGCCUUGCUCGAGUAUGGGAGAGGGGAGUGGAAUUUCCGGUGUAGCGGUGAAAUGCGUAGAUAUCGGAAGGAACAUCAGUGGCGAAGGCGGCAUCCUGGACCAACACUGACGCUGAGGAGCGAAAGCCAGGGGAGCAAACGGG